CUCCUCAAAAUGUAUGCCUGAACAUUUUCUCUUGACAACAAUUACUUCAUACUCUUUGGCUCCUGUGGGACACAAAGCAACAACAUUCCCUCUCCGUUUGUCUCUAUUUUGUGCAGCAUGUUCUGCCUUGCUCCAUGUGAGUUUUACCUCACUGAGCUCAGCUGUGACAGUUUAGCACCAGGUGGUUUUUGGUCGAGCAGUUUUCUGUUUCCAAGGUGGUCUCCAUUGCAAGAACAUCACAGCCCAUGCGGAUUUGCUAUGCUUUGCUAUUUCGAGACUUCGAGUGGGUUCAUGUUGCAGCUCUCAUGAGGUCUCACAUGAAUGGCUUCACACCCUUUGAGACGACAAUAGAACAAACAACAGAAACAAUGCCCCCUAGCCCCAAAACAAUAACAGCUGCUGCAAUGACAACAAAUAGAAUAAUAUUACAAGCUUACGAGAACUGCUACACUACUGUAGUGCAUGAGAGUUGCCAGGUUUACAGUAGGUGUACGUAGGCUUUCUAUGUUUUUGAAUUCUUUUAUUUGAUUGUUCGGGGCGUGGUUCUUUUUCAGCUAUGGUUUUGUGACAUUCACAACAAUGCAAGCUCGUGAUGACCUUCUAAAAAAGGGAACAGUGGAUUACAAGGGAGGGAGAAAGCUCCGCCUAAGAAAGGCAGUUAAAAAGGAGAUGGGUGGGCAGUUUUUUGUGGCAAACGGUAGCAGCAUCAACAGCAGUAAUGCUCACAAUGGAGGUUGGUGUCAAACAGACCUAAAAUUUUAUACUAAGGAGUUUGGCAAAAUGCUGUCAAAAUUAGGAUUACAGUGAAAGCUGUAUUAAGCGAACCCCAUACUAAGCAGACACCCUCUAUUAAGAGGACACCAGCUUGAGUCCCUAAAUUUGCAAUUCAGUGGGCACAAAUCAUGUACCAUUUUCCUUUAAAGUCUUAGUGUGGGGUGUGGCACCCAGUGGCUAUCAUGUCCCUUUUUAAAUUUUCUUUCAUUUUAAUUUUUUUUUUUAAACUUGACAAUUUACAUUUGACAGUUCUCUGAAGUUCAUUUUCUUACAUGACAUUUUCUUGCAGUCAAAAGUGGCUUUCCAGAAAUUGCCUUGCAUUGCAGUACAGCUUACAUAUUAGGUCUUGACCAAUAAUUGUGCAGGAAUUCUGUCAGUUGAUGCGACACAAGUGGUCUUUAGUGGCCAAAUAACUGUUAUAACAUUAUUGCAGUUAUCAGCAGCUUGACACACAAUCAAGGUGAAAGGGUCAAUUCUGCAUUAUAUUGACUCUUUAACCUCGUUUGCAUGCCUUUUAAAACUAAGCAAUAUUUGACCGCAAACUCAACUGCAAUAACAGGUAUUGACCAGCUGUGAGGAGGAUUUUGUCCAUCUGGUUUGACCAGAAGGAAGAAAGUUUUGCUUGUGACAAAGUUCAUUGCAAAGAGUUCUGCCUGCUUGUGAAAACCAAUUGCCCACCUGAUGAAAGUCCUUCAGGAAACGCUUGGGUUAAUUGAGCUCAAGGAAAGAUUGACAGGGAGGUGUAAAUGAUGUAAAAUUUUAGUUUGUCCCAGAAUAUUUGUAAGCCCAAAAAUUCUCCUUACCAUUUUCCCAUACCCUCUCCCACCCCUCAACAAAAAAUUAAUCCUCUACUUAUAAUUGAACCCUCCCACCCUUCCAAGUAAAAAAGGAUCUUAAGAAAGUGCCUGUCCUAGGAUGGUUAAUUGGUACCUCAGCAGAGGUCCCAUUAAUGUUUUCAGCAGGAGUGUAAAUGGUUGCAGGCAGACAAAACCUUUUGAAUUUAACUUCUUAAUAAGGAAACCUUCUAGAUGGUCAAACCAGGCGGGCAAAAUCAUCCCCAGAGCCAGUCAAUUUACCUGGUGCGCAGCCCUUUAUGAAACCCCUACCAGUGAAGACCUCACACUAUUUACAUACGCCAGUAUGUGUCUUUUGUCCUUAGUUGUAGGUGGACAAAUCGUGUUGGUUCCUGUGGUGGAGCCAGCACCUGCACCAUACACCAACAAUCAAGUGUGCUACAUUCAGCAGCCCACAGUCAACUAUCAUAAUUUUAUGGCACAGCAGUACAACUGGCCAAAUCUACAAACAGGUCCAUUUUAUUACUGUUAUUAUUAAAAAAAGAGGUAAGUGGUGUUGUGUUUAGGCUGUUA
rnacentral:misc_RNA from 1 species